rnacentral:lncRNA from 1 species
AACAACCUCCAAAUAUUAUCUGCCUCCAACAAUAAUGGAUUCAGUUAGAAGAUUCAUUUCAUUAUUUCUUAUUAUUGUCUCCAUUAUUUUCACUCAAAAUACCUUAUUAUUAGCAAAAGCAUCUAGGCCUAUGGGUGAGUCUGAAUUGACGACAUCGUUGCCAAGGGGUCAACUUCCAUCAGGUUCUUCUUCUUGCACCAACAUUCCUGAUCAAGGUGGCAACGGCUCGUGCCCAUAAACUUGAAAUCUUCUUUUCGUCUAAUUAAGGCGAGUCUAGAAUUAAAUUGUUCCAUUUUUCUUCUUGCUCUUCAAUUUGUGCAUAACCGACUUUUCAUAGGGUCGCUGGCAGGGGCAUGAAGCUAGCUAGGUGGGCGAAUACCUCUUUGCUCGAAAAAUAUAUUGUAUAUAUAAGGUUAAUUUUUUUAUGUACAUAUAUUAAAUGUUGAAUCCCCUAAAUUUCUUCACGUAUUUAUUUUUUUCAAUACCCGUAGUAAAAAUUAUACUUUCGCCACUUGUCAUCGCAUGUCUAUCACUGUGCAUGAUUGGCUUUUCUUGAAAGAAUGAUCUUUGUAAAGCUUCCGUGGUUCCAAGAAAGCUAAGGAGAAGAAAAAAAACCUUCGUUUUGAUGAUAAUGAAAUGUUUAGAAAAUUAAUUCUUUGAUAGUUUUGACUCUUCUCAUUCCUUCAAUUUAUGAAUAUUUUACUUUUUAAUUUUUCUUUAACUCGGAGAAACCAUUGAACAAAUUAGUGGUAAAUCCAAGCGAUUGAUGUAAAUAAAGAUAUAUAAAUUCAUGCCGAAGGCGUAUGUACUUCUUUUGUGUUUCCAACAAGGAAGACGAGUUUUAGAUCAACAAUAAAGGUGUAUUCGUAUAACCUAUA